GACGAACGCUGGCGGCGUGCUUAACACAUGCAAGUCGAACGAAGUGGCGAACGGGUGAGUAACGCGUAAUCAACCUGCCCUUCAGAGGGGGACAACAGUUGGAAACGACUGCUAAUACCGCAUACUGAAGGAGGGGAUUGCGUCUGAUUAGCUAGUUGGAGGGGUAACGGGCCACCAAGGCGAUGAUCAGGAGCCGGUUGUAGAGGUGUAACCGCCCAAUUGGGAAUGGAGACCGGCCCCGGAUCCUUCGGGAGGCAGCAGUGGGGAAUCUUCCGCAAUUGACGAAAGUCUGACGAAGCAAAGCCGCGUGAGUGGUGACGGCCUUCGGGUUGUAAAACUCUGUUAAUCGGGGCGCGGUACCUGAAUAGAAAGCCACGGCUAACUACGUGCCAGCAGCCGCGGUAAUUC
rnacentral:rRNA from 1 species